AGAGUUUGAUCAUGGCUCAGGAUGAACGCUGGCGGUGUGCUUAUACAUGCAUGUCGAACGGAGUGUAGCAAUACACUUAGUGGCAAAUGGGUGAGUAAUAAAUAGGUAACCUACCUUUAAGACGGGGAUACCCAUCGAAAGAUGAUCAAUACCCGAUAAUGUCCCUUCUGGUGUGCCAGUUGGGAAGAAAGGCGGCGCAACGUUCCACUUUUAGACGGGCCUAUUUCCUAUCAGCUAGUUGGUGAGGUAACGGCUCACCAAGGCGACGACGGGUAGCUGGUCUGAGAGGACGGUCAGCCACAUUGGGACUGAGACACGGCCCAGACUCCUACGGGAGGCAGCAGUCGGGAAUAUUCGGCCAAUGCGCGAAAGCUGACCGAGCGACACCGCGUGGGCGACGAAGAACUUAGGUUUGUAAAGCCCUUUUGCUGGAGAGGAAUACGCUGACGAUAACAUCAAUAGCGUUUGACAGUAUCCAGCGAAUAAGCCGCAGCUUACUACGUGCCAGCAGCUGCGGUAAUACGUAGGCGGCAACGGUUAUCCGGAAUUACUGGGUGUAAAGGGUCCGCAGCGACUUGUUAAGUUAGGAGUUAAAUCCCAAGGCCUAACCUUGGGGCUGCUCUUAAGACUGACAGGAUAGAGUGUAGGAGACGGAAGUGGAAUUCCUGGUGGAGAGGUAAAAUCCGUAGAUAUCAGGAGGAACACCUGUGGCGUAGGCGGCUUCCGAGCCUAUAACUGACGCUCAUGGACGAAAGCUAGGGGAGCAAACAGGAUUAGAUACCCUGGUAGUCCUAGCCCUAAACGAUGAAUACUUGGUGGUAGCGAGUACAUACUCAUUACCGCCGCACGUAACGCGUUAAGUAUUCCACCUGGGGACUACGGCCGCAAGGUUGAAACUCAAAGGAAUUGACGGGAGCCCGCACAAGCAGCGAGGCAUGUGGUUUAAUUCGAUGCUACACGAAGAACCUUACCUGGGCUUGACAUGUUGCGGAAAGCUGUAUGAAAGUACGGCCCUUGUUAUAGUAAUAUAACAACCACAGCACAGGUGGUGCAUGGUUGUCGUCAGCUCGUGUCGUGAGAUGUAAGGUUAAGUCCUUAAACGAGCGCAACCUCUGCCACUAGUUGCCACCAGUUCGGCUGAGCACUCUAGUGGGACCGCUAGUGAUAAGCUAGAGGAAGGUGGGGAUGACGUCAAAUCCUCACGCCCCUUAUGUCCAGGGCUACACACAUGCGACAAUGGUACGGACAGCAGGAUGCAAAGGAGCGAUCCUGAGCUAACCCCCAAACCGUGCCCCAGUACAGAUCGUAGGCUGCAAUUCGCCUACGUGAAGAUGGAGUUGCUAGUAAACGCAGGUCAGCUAUACUGCGUUGAAUACGUUCCCGGGCUUUGUACACACCGCCCGUCACACCACCCGAGUCGUGUGCACCCGAAGUCAGCCACCUCAACCGCAAGGAGAGGACUGCCGAAGGUGUGCUCGGUAAGGAGGGUGAAGUCGUAACAAGGCAGGUGUACGAGAACGUGCGCCUGGAUCACCUCCUUUCUGA
rnacentral:rRNA from 1 species